rnacentral:rRNA from 1 species
CGGACGGGUGAGUAACGCGUGAGAAUUUACCUUUAGGAGGGGGAUAACAAUUGGAAACGAAUGCUAAUACCCCAUAUGCUUUCGAGUGAAAUGGAUUUAUAAUUAUCCGCCUAGAGAGAAGCUCGCGGCUGAUUAGCUUGUUGGUAAGGUAAGAGCUUACCAAGGCGACGAUCAGUAUCUGGUUUGAGAGGACGAUCAGACACACUGGAACUGAGACACGGUCCAGACUCCUACGGGAGGCAGCAGUGGGGAAUUUUCCGCAAUGGGCGAAAGCCUGACGGAGCAAUACCGCGUGAGGGAAGACUGCCUAUGGGUUGUAAACCUCUUUUUUCAGGGAGGAAUAAAAUGACGUGUACCUGAAGAAUAAGCAUCGGCUAACUCCGUGCCAGCAGCCGCGGUAAGGCGGAGGAUGCAAGUGUUAUCCGGAAUCACUGGGCGUAAAGCGUCUGUAGGUGGUUUGAUAAGUCAACUGUUAAAUCUUGAGGCUCAACUUCAAAAUCGCAGUCGAAACUAUUAGACUAGAGUAUAGUAGAGGUAAAGGGAAUUUCCAGUGGAGCGGUGAAAUGCGUAGAUAUUGGAAAGAACACCGAUGGCGAAAGCACUUUACUGGGCUAUUACUAACACUCAGAGACGAAAGCUAGGGUAGCAAAUGGGAUUAGAUACCCCAGUAGUC